CAUGCCAUUUUCCAAUACCAGAGAAGAGCCACUGUGAAUCCUCUCAACUGCUGUUGGUUGCUCUCUGCUUGUUUAUUGCUGAGCGGGAGGAGGAGAGGGGAUGUUUUCUGAAGCCGGACUGUUUGAGAGAGCGCUCUUCCUCACUGUUCUAGCUGUGGGUACCUGCAAAUUAGUGUCCAGUU